rnacentral:lncRNA from 1 species
CUAUUUGCUGGAACUGGAAGGGACAAAAGGGGAAGAAAAGCAGAUUCCCACUUCAUAUGUAAUGUUUUUUUUUUUUUGUUUAAUUUGGUAUUUUAUUAAUAAUUAACAAAACAUAAUGGACCAACCUAUUAUACAAUUAAACAUUGUAAGCCUAUUUAUCUGAUCCGACCCAACCCGGAUCUAAUAACAAAACCAAAUAUAAUUAGUAGGUUUCCAAAAUAGAUAACUUUCCUAAUCUUUAUCUCUUUCACGCCGCCUUUCACCAUUUUCCUUCGUGGCUUCAAAAUUAGUUUCUUUCGAUUUUUACACUGGAGAAUCAAUCUUGUACCGCCUUCUUGUCAAAGCUUCACCUUCAGAUUCAGCUUCCAACAGUGAGUAUUACUUUCCUUACUUUGUUAUUUUAUCUUCGUAUGACUUGACUAUUGAUGCUUCAUCUUUUGUUUCUGAUUUCUCCGAUGUCUGAGACUCUGAAAGACAUGUUGAUCAUCUUUGUUGGCUCUAUUCUGCUGAGUUAAGAUUCUACUUCCAAGAAUGACUCUUUUCAUUAACCUUUUGUUCCAUUUAAGACUUUUCGAUGCUUGUCUUAGUGCUUUCUGCUUGUGAUUCUCAGAUCUAGUUAAGAUGAAGAAAAGGGAUGCUUGGACCAGAAAAAAAUCUGAGGAACUGCUUUACAAUCAUGUUUAUAAAGCUGAAUCGGCCCCUAGAUCCUUCCCUAAAGCUGAUAAUCUAUUUUGAUGGCUGCAGUAGUUUAGGAUAGUUAAAACAUACUUGGUUUUUGUUGUGAUCUUGACUUGUGAAUAUGUAGUUUGUGCACUACAUAGCCUAACUUCCUUGUUUCCCUUUAUCCCUUUAGUGGUAUGAUUCUCAAAUAGGGGCACUGCCAUUUAUCACUAUUAAGAAUAGUUUUUUCUUUCUUGUGAAGUUGCUGAAAACUGGUGAUAGUAAUUGCUCCUGAAUCUAUUACUAGAUUAGCAAGAUAAUUAGAUAACUGUUUUUCUUCCCUGUAAAUAUGCUGAUAUACAACUUGCUUAUCUUACAAAUACUUCUUUAUCUCCUUUACUAUGCUUGAAAUGCUCCAUGGACACUUCUAAUUUCCUGAUAAUACCUUCUGUAUAACUAGAGAGUUCAUCUGAAUGACUACUUUAUCAUAUUGUGUCUGGUUACAAUGCUUAGCUGUAUAUAGAAGUUCAUUUGCUUUUGCCUGCAUACUAUCGGCAUAUUUUUGUGGUAAUGCAUUAGCAUAUAGCACAUCACCAUUCCCAUCCCUUAGACAAAAAAUAUAUGAACUGUCUCCCUCUUUACUUCUGACUACUCCAUCAGUAUUAUAUUUCUCCCAUCCAUCUUCUGGCAUCUUCCAUAUCACUUUUGUCACCUUGAUCUUUCUUGUAGACUUAGCUAACUCCUGUACAAUUGAGGCCAUUCAAUAGAGAAGACUCUUGUAGGCUGUCUGAUCAUCAAUAAGAGCCUCAAAUUUUUUGUUAUGUUGUAAAUGAGUUUCAGAUCUUUAGUGUUCUUGUUCUCAUGCUUCUUUCUGGUUCUUCUUCCCAUAGAAUGAUGCUAGGAAGAGCAUAAUAAUAAGAUUGUUCUUUCAUCUUCACCUCAUCCUCCCACUACUUCAAAGUAGUACCCCUUAGAGUCAAGUCUUGAAUAUAUAUACCUGCAAAAGAAAAAAAUUAAGACCAAGUCCUGUUAGCAUAAGGUGACCUUCUAAAAACAUGUGCAAGUGUCUCCACUGUAGGUUCUUUACAACGCCAAUAUUUAGAAGGUCCCUGCAUCCCCCAUCUUCUAGAAUUAUCAUCAAUAGGUAUUUUUCUUUUCCAUAACCUCCACAUAAAUAAACCUAUUUUGAAAGGUAACCCCUUAAACCAAAUAUACUUAUAAAUGUUACUGAUGUGAUACUUGUUCCUGAUAUACUACCAAGCACUCUUAACUAUGAAAUCUCCCUUUUGAUAUAUGGUCCAUAUUGGAAUUUCCGGACCUUCUCAUGUAGGUGGUUGAACUUUAGUAAGAAUAUGCUCAGCCAUUUCUGGUAAGAACAUAUUUUUAACUAGUUGCUCAUCCAAUCUACCUUCUGUUGUGAUAUUUUUGACUUGUUGGUACUGCAUAUUCUCUUCCCAAUUUCCUUCCAUUAGUGAGACUAAAUCAGCAUAUCCAGUCCAAUUAUCUAGCCAUAAAUUAGAAUUGCCUUUCUUCAACUGCCAUACUAUCAAAUGCUCCACCAAAUCUCUAGUAAUCAGUAUCUUCUUCCAAAUCUGUGAACCCCCUGAACCAGUUUUCCAUAUCUGGUGUGUUGGAUUAUCCUUUAUACAAUAUUUAUUAAACAUGUACUCCCUCCAAAUUCGAUUUUAUAGUCCUAAAUAUCCACCAUAGCUUAUAGAGUAAUGCCAUAGAAACAUCAGACAAUCUUCUAAAACCCAACCCUCCUUCUUCUUGUGGUAGACACACGUCCUGCCACUUCACCCAAUGCUUACCCUUUUCUCCAUAUUUACUACUCCAAAAAAAUUGAGCAAGAAUUUUUUGAAUAGAAUUCAGUAUAUUUAGAGGUGGAUUCAUCACUGAUAAACAGUAAAAUAGGAACACUCUACAAUACAUGCUUAAUCAACACUACUCUACCUCUAUAUGAAAGAAAUUUUCCUUUCCAAUUCUAAAACUUAUUUGCUAUCCUAUUCAUCAACUGCUAAUAAUGUUCUAUUUUCUUCCUCAUAUAGAAAAUACGACAACCAAGAUAUGUGAAAGGAAAAUCUUUCCUCAAUAUGCCUGUAGCAACUUCUUCUAUUAUUCACACUCCAUUAGAAACUCCUUUGUGCAAAUAUAUUACACUUUUUUCUUUAUUGAUCUUCUGACCAGAUACUGCAUCAUAUUUGUCCAAAAUAUUAGACACCAACUGCAAUUUUCUCACUUCAGCUUUGCAUAAUAUGAUCAUAUCAUCUGCAAAAGCUAAGUGAUUAAAUUUAGGACUUCUUCUUGGCAUACCAAAUAGCUUAAAAUCCUUUUCCUGCAUUAAUUUUUUCAGAUUCCUACACAGAACUUCUGCUUCAAUAAUGAACAAAGUAGGUGACAAAAUAUCACCCUACUUCAUCCCCCUAGAAUAUUUGAAAAAUCCUUUUAGUUGCCCAUUAAAGAGAAUUGAAUACCAAUUGUUCUCUAACAAUCUAUACACCAUGUCUAUAAGUCUUUCAAAGAAGCCCAUUUUCCCCAAUACCUUGGUAAAAAAUAUUCAUUCCACCCUAUCAUAUGCCUUCAUCAUAUCAAGUUUUAUGACCAUAUUAGGAGGUUUACCCCUUUUUCUCAUUUUUGAGACUAUUUUCUGCACUACUAAAAUAGUCUCGACUAUGCUUCUUCUCUGAAUAAAACCUGCUUGUUUUGGAGAUAUCAACUGUGGUAGUAAGCCUUUAAUCCUCUCAUGAAUAAUUCUUGAAAAAAAUUUUAUUCAUAAAAUUACUGAGUAAUAUAGGCCUCAUAUCUGAGAAUGUAUUCACUUCUAACUUUUUUAGUAGUAAUACCAAAUUAGUAUGAGUAAUGAAUCUAGGAAGCUGGAAACCUCAAAAGAAAGCAAUUACCAUUUUGUGAAUAUCCUGUUUUAUGAUUUCCCAAGCAUCCUAAUAAAAAUCUCCAGUAAUACCAUUAGGUCCCCCUGCGUUAUUCCUGUUUAAUCUCAUUACUACAUCUUUUACUUCAUCUUUAUUAGGAAUCUUCAAAAUCUUCCCAUUCUGUUGUUUAGUCACUAGGUUUGGAACUUCAUCCAAAAUAGAAAAAUCCUCUGAAUCUUUCUGUUUAGUAAACUGAUUCUGAAAGAAAUUAAUAGCCGAAUUAGCUAUCUCUUACUUUUCUUCCAUCCACCCAUCCACUCCUUUUUGAAUUCUUCUUAUUCUUAAUCUACUCCAUCUUCCUUUAAAAAUUUUAUGGAAAAAUUUUGUGUUCCUUUCUUCAUCAUUAAACCAUUUAUAACCUGCUUUCUGUAUCCAGAACUCUUUUUUCCUUUUUAAUUGCAAGUUUAGUUCAGCUUGAUCCUUACUCAAAUUUGCUUUAUUUACUUUACUCGAAUUUUCCUCAAAUUGCUUAUCUUUAACUUUGAUAAUAUCCUCCAGUGUUGCCAUUUCCUAGAAUAUAUUACCAAAAGUUUCUUUACUCCAACUUGACAAAGCUGUUUUUGUUUUCUUCAGCUUUUGUUUAAACACAAUGAAAGGAUUCCCUUUUAUUUCUACUGUCCUAUUUUGUUUGAUCACUUCCAAACAUGAUUUUUCCUUCAACCACCAGUUCAGGAAUCUGAAUGAUCGGAUUAGCUGUUCUCUUUCAAUUCUGAAAUGGAUUAGAAUAGAUGAGUGAUCUGAUUCACUUCUAGGUAGGUGCUCCACAUCCAAAGUCUGAAAUGAACUCUGCAACCUAUCAUUGUACAAAACUUUAUCCAAUUUUUUAAAAAUGCAAGCUUCAUCAGUUCUCCCAUUCCAUCCAGUAUAUUUUCUUACUUUAAAUUGAGGUUCAUCCAAGUUACACAAAUUUAUACAUUGAUUAAAAUCAUCUGUUUCAUUGAAUGUAACUGGUAACCCUCUCAAUUUUUCCUUUUCAUUUCUUAUGACAUUAAAAUCUCCCCCUAUUAUCCAUGGUUGUUAAAAAGCAUAUGCUAUGUCUAAUAAUGAUUCCGAUAAUUCUUGCCUCUCUGCUAAACUACAUUUGACAUAUACUAAUGUUGCAAUUAAAGAAAUAUCAGCAUACUGACUUUGUAACUUCAAAGAUAAUUGUUGGUCCUCAUCCUUUACUACACUAUAUUCCAUAUUUUCAUCCAUGAAUGCCCAUAUCUUACCAUUUAUAUUUACUGUUGCAUACCUCAUCCCCAAUCUUCUUCUGCACUUCUCUAUUUUUUGCUUAUCUUAAAAAGGUUCCAUAAUCCCUAUAAAAUAGAAAUGAUGUAUUCUCUACAUUGUGAUUAAUCUGGUAAAGGCGUACUAUGUAUUAAUAGACCUUAUAUUUCAUAUUAAUGCAUUUAUGGUUUGAUCUUAGCAGAAUGACUCCUUGUAUGAGUUAUAGUUGAGGUUGUAUUACUCCUCUUAUUCUUCUUUUUUUGUUUUCCCUGCUUUCUAUUCAAAGCCUCUAUUUUCUUUGGUGAUAAAUCUACAUCUUGAUUUAUUUGAGAGAUAUUAUCUUCUAAAUUAUGACAAUCCAUGUCUUUUUUUUCAUUGCAUCUUUCCAUUAGCUUAUUUGUCUGAAUAGCUAAAGGAGAAAUCCCUUCAAACGCCAUCAACUCAUUUGUUUCUCUUUGCCACAAUUGCAGUUUCUUCUCUUUUUCAUCCUUUUUCAACUUUUCAGUGGUAUCUUCUUUCUGUUUCUCUAUUUUUUUCUAAACAUACUCAUCUUGCUGGACAUUCUCUUGCUGAUUCUCUUUUUCCUUGUCAUUCUUAUUAUUUGUUGGCUUCCCUUUUUCCACUUCCUGAAUAUUACUCUUUCCAAAAUUUUGUUAAUCCAGUCUUUAGUUCUAAGUUCUUCUCCUUCUGCUUGUACUUCCUUCUGUUCUUCUGUGUUUGCAUUCACUGGAUUAGUCACUUGUCCUUCUUUGUCCUUUAAAGCAUUAAAAGAAUUGGAAACUUAAAGGUCCUCAUCAUUAUUUUCAUUUACCUAUCCUAGAAUACGACUAGAACUGUCCUUCCUGUAUCUAUUCUUCCUUGUAAGCCACUGAAACUUAUAAUUGUUUUCUCUUCUCAUGUUACUCUGCUUCUGAGUUUGCUGAUUCUUUUGUUCACCAGAUUCCUUAUUCAUAUUAUUUUCUUCUGUGCCUUUACUCUCCUCCUUCAUUUUUUCAUAUAAUUCUGGAUGAAUUUUCCAACAACUUUCCUCACCAUGCCCUUGUAGACAACAAUCUUUAAAAUACUUAGGCAUAUAGUCAUACUGAAUCUAUAUCCAUUUAGACUUUAUUUCUCACGUAAUAUUAUUCUCCUCAUUUAUUUGUAUCCUUUGUGGUAAUAUUGCAAGUAAAUCUACCUCCAUUUUGACUCUUGCACAACUAGGGCUAGUAUGAUUUUUAGUUUCCAUGUCUACUAUGAGUGGCCUUCCUAUUGCUGUUGCUAUUAAAAAGAUUGUAUCUUUUGUAAAAAAAAAUUGGAGAAAGAUUUGGCAUGGAAAUCCAUGCCACUCUAAUUGAAGUUUCAAAAUUAGGCUCAAACCAUGGAUCCCACUUCAAAGUCCUUAUUUUCCAAUACCUGCCCCUCAAAUUGAAGUAGAAAUCUAUUGUCGAUAAUAGUUAAACAUAAUUUUGUAACGUCUCAAGCCUUAUUAAUACAUGUCUUUCAUCUAUCACUCCUAUAUUACAGUGAUCUUUGAUUCCAUAUUGAUUAGGAAUCAUUUUUCUCAAUAUGUCAAUAUGAGGCUUGCCAUAAGGAAACUUACCUAUAAUUGCAUAUUGAAGUUUUUCUUGUAUGAUUAAGUUUUGAACUUUUGAUGAUUUCCAUGUAAUAUUAGGUUCUCCAUGCAACAUUACUAUGGGUUUCGGGAGGACCCUAAUUCUAGAAUUAUGAUCUACAAACUUAGGGUUAUUAUUCAUCUUUUGCUGCUCAUUUAUUAUCUCCUCCAUAAUACGCUUACUACAGUCGUCCGAUGGGAAUUUCCCACCGGCUAAAGUGGCCAUAUUGGCCAAAAAACUAUGGUUUGUAUGAUUGUCGACGGCUAGGGUUUAAGCUUGUAAGUGGUGAAAUUUGAGACUUUUUGGCUAGGAUCUUCACAUGCAAUGUUUUAUUUUUAAAGUAUGCUUAGUUAGUCAUGGCUUGGAUUUGGGUACCAACACAAAACUGACACAUCUUGCUUUUCUCUGAGUUCUAAUAUCCCUCUUAUGGUUACCUCAUAAUAACAUUUCUACUAAAUUUGUAAAUAAAAGUAUGGUUUAUUCAUUUCAUUAUUCUGUUUAAUUUUUUAAAAAUUAAUGAUAUUUUCUCUAGUUCAUAUUAAGUUAUUGCUAUUUUUUUUUAAUAGCAUGGAUAAUCGCUUAAUUUUAAAAAAUUAACCUCCUUAGUUACUUAAUUUUAUUUUUUGUCUUUCAAAAGUCACUCAACUUUGAGUAAUUACUUAGCCACUCGCUUUUAUUUUUUCUUUAAAAAACAUUCAACAUUGUCAAGUUAGCUUUCAUGGUCAUUAUUUUUCAAAAAUAUAAUUUACACUACCUAUUUAAUGAUUUGGCAGCUAUACACUUUUAGCGAAAAAAAUAUUUUUUAAAUUAAUAUUUACUUAUUGAGUUCUUAGUUGAACUUUCUAUUCUUACUUUUUUUUGUUUGUUUAUUUUUCUUGUUAAUCUUAUUCAUAUAAUUUCAAUAGGAAGGAUAAAAAUUAUUUGAGCAGUAUCAAGUAUUUUUAAACUAACAUCCAUAUUAUCCAACAAGAUCAGUUUUUCAAGGAUUAAACUGAAUAAAAAAUUGAUCUAUUUUAUAUGCAGUGAGAAUUUUUUUAAUUUGUUUGAAGAAUCUAUGGAAUAUAAUUAAUUAACUUCAACAAGUAUUUCUGACCAUAAUAACGUCCAUCACGCCUCAAUUAUUAUUAUAUGUUCAGAGUUAUGGAAUAGUUCCUAAUAAAUAACUUAGAAAUAUACAUUAAAUAAUGUUGGUAUAAACUUGGUUAUCUUUUCAUGGCCAACACAAAGUGUGGACCGGAGGAAUUAAGAUCUCAUAAAUCCAGUGCCGCCUAAGGGGAGGCAACUAAAGCCCUUUAGGCCCCCCUCAUCCAAGGUUUACUUUUCCCUAUAUGACUCCUUUUGUGGCUGUAUUUUUUGGUUUUGAUUCAUAAGUUAUUUCAGAUUUUUUUCUAUUUCAACCCUGGUAGGUGAAUCAGUUAUUACUAGGAGAGUCUAUAAGAUAUGUGUGGUAUCUGCUGGUGGCAAGCAGACAUUAAUGGAUCUGUUUGAGUUGGAUAUGGUGGAUUUUGAUAUUAUUCUGGGUAUGGACUGGUGACAUUGUUGUUACGCAUCUUUGGAUUAUCGGACUAGUAGGUUUAUCUUUAGGUUCCUGGUGAGCCGGUUAUAGAAUGAGACGGUGUUUCUUUAGCUCUUAGGGGGAGGUGUAUUUCUUAUCCUAGAGCUAGGAGGUUAAUCUUCAAAGGUUAUCUUUAUCAUUUGGUCUAGGUUAAAGAUUCUAACUCAGAAGGUCUUUCUUUUCAGUCAGUUUCUAUGGUUAAUGAGUUUCCAAAGGUUUUUUUGAAUGAUCUUUCUAGUUUUUCUCCGAAUAAGGAAAUAGAGUUUGGUAUUGAUUUGCUUCUGGACACACGUCCAAUUUCUAUUCCUUCGUAUAGAAUGGCUUUGGCUGAGUUGAGAAAACUCAAGGAGCAACUUAAGGAUCUUCAAUAUAAGGGUUUUAUUAUUUCUAGUGUAUCUCCUUGGGGUACAUUAGUGUUGUUUGUGUCCAAGAAAGAGGGUUUCCUUCAGAUGUGCAUUGACUAUAGGUAAUUGAAUAAGGUGACGGUAAAGAACAAGUAUCCUCUUCUAAAGAUAGAUGAUGUAUUUGACCACUUGCAAGGUGUUAAGUUCUUUUCUAAAAUAGAUCUUCGGUCUGGGUACCAUCAGCUAAAUAUUAGGGGAGUAUAUAUCCCUAAGAUGGCUUUUCAUACUCGAUAUAGGUACUUUGAGUUUUUGGUGAUGUUAUUUGGGUUAACUAAUGCUCUGGCAGUGUUUAUGGAUCUGAUGAAUAGGGUAUCCAGGCAAUAUUUAGAUCUUUUCAUUAUUGUAUUUAUUGAUAACAUUCUGGUUUAUUCGAAGAGUGAGGUGGAUCAUGCUAAUCACUUGUGGUGUUGCAAACCUUAAAGAAACAACAGUUGUAUGCCAAGUUCUCUAAGUUUAAGUUUUGGUGGAAUGUUGUGACUUUCUUGGGUCAUAUUAUUUUUAGUGAAGGGAUCAUGGUGGAUCCGCAGAAGGUUUCUAUGGUGAAAAGGUGGCCUAGACCUACGAAUCCAUUCGAUAUUCAAAGAUUCUUGGGUUUAGUCGGGUAUUACAGGUGAUUUAUGGAAGGCAUUUUGUCAAUAAUUUCUCUUUUAACCAAGUUAAUUCAGAAGAAGGUUAAGUUUUCUUGGUUAGAUGCUUGUGAAGGGAGUUUUGAGAAAUUGAAGGAUAAGUUAACUUCGAAUCAAAUUUUUGCUUUACCUAAAGGCAAUGAUGGGUUCGUGGUUUAUUAUGAUGCAUCCCGAGUAGGUCUUGGUUGUGUGUUGAUAUAGCAUGGGAAGGUGAUUGCUUAUACUUCCAGGAAGUUAAAGGUGCAUGAGAGGAAUUAUCCUACUCAUGUUUUGGAGCUAUUGGAGGUUGUGUUUGCUUUGAAAAUAUGGUAGCAUUAUUUGUAUGGUGUCCACGUGGAUAUCUUUUCUAAUCAUAAGAGUCUACAAUAUGUGCUUACCCAGAAUGAGCUUAAUCUCAGACAGAGGAGAUGGCUUGAGCUUCUCAAGGAUUAUGGUAUGAGUCUUUAUUACCACCUAGGUAAGGCUAAUGUGGUUGUUGAUGCUCUUAACAGGUUAUCCAUGAGGUGUUUGGAUCAUGUAGAGGAAGAAAACCAGGAAUUGGUGAAGGAUAUUCGUUGUUUGGCUAAUCUUGGAGUUUGUCUCUUAGAAUCCAAGGAUGGUGGGUGCUGGUGCCAGAAGUGGUUCGAUUAUCUCUUGGUGUGGUGAUUAAGGAAAAACAAAUGUUGGAUCCUAUCUUAAUGAAAAUCAUGAGUGACGUUGGUAGGAAAAAAGUUGUGGUGUUUGAGAGCAGUGGUGAUGGUACUUUAUGGUAUCAAGGGAGGUUGUGUCUUCCUAAUAUUGAUAAUUUUUGACAAAGGAUUUUGGCUGAGGUGCAUGAGUUACGCUAUGUUAUUCAACCCAACUUAACUAAUAUAUAUCAUGAUCUUAAGGAGAUCUAUUGGUGGAAUGGUAUGAAGAGGGAUAUGGUAGAUUUUGUGGCUAAGUGCAUGGUGUGUCAAUAGGUGAAGGUUGAGCAUAGGAGGCCAGGAGGGUUGUAUCAAGAAAUUUAUUUUCCCGAAUGAAAGUGGAAAGUGAUAAAUAUAGACUUUGUUACCAAUCUUCCUCAAUCUCGGAGUCAAUAUAAUUCAUUUUGGGCCAUUGUGGAUAGAAUGACUAAGUCUGUGCACUUUUUGCCAGUGCGGACUAUCUUUUCGGCAAAGGAUUAUACAAAGUUAUAUCUUCAGGAGAUUGUGAAGCAGCAUGGGGUGCCUGUUUUUAUUAUUUCUGAUUAUGGCACGCAGUUUAUAUCUCACUUCUGGCGAUCUUUUCUGAAAGGGUUGGGGACUAAGGUGAUUUUGAGUACUGCUUUUCAUCCAUAGAUGGAUGGGAAAGCAGAGAGAACUAUUUAGAUAUUGAAGGAUAUAUUUUGGGCCUGUGUAAUUGAUUAUGGUGGUGAUUAGGUUGAGCAGCUACCUUUGGUAAAAUUUUCUUACAACAAUAGCUAUCAUUUUAGUAUUGGUAUGGCCUCUUUUGAGGCAUUGUAUGGUAGGAGGUGUACAUAUCCUAUUGAUUGGUUUGAGCUUGGUGAGACGAACAUGUUUGGUCCUGACUUAGUGUACCAAGAUAUGGAGAAGGUGAAGGUGAUUUGGGAUAGGCUUAAGGCUGCCAAGAGUCUCCAAAAGUCCUAUACAGAUGCUAGUCGUAGAGGCUUGGAGUUUUAGGUUAGGGAUAAGGAUUUCCUUAAGGUAUCUCCGAUGAAGGGAGUAGUGCGGUUUGGAAAGAAAGGGAAGCUCAGUCCCCGGUAUCUGGGUCCUUAUGAGAUUUUGUGAAAAGUUGGUAAUGUUACUUAUGAGUUGGAGUUGCCUUCUAGUUUGAGCUUGGUUUAUUCGAUCUUUCAUGUUGCCAUGUCGAGAAAGUGUCUUGGUGAUCCUUCUUCAGUUGUUUUUUUUGGGAGGAUUAGGUCUCACCAAUUUUGUGUCUUAUGAAGAAGUCUUGAUGGAAAUCUUGGAUAGGUAGGUUUAUCGAUUGCUGGCCAAGGAUGUGGCUUCGGUUAAGGUUCUUUGACAGAACCAUAAGGUGGAAGAAGCUACUUGGGAAACAAAAAAGGACAUGAAGUCUAAGUAUCCACAUUUAUUUUUUCUGCUCUUAGGAUUCGUGCGAAAGGUAUGUGUCUUAACACAUCGUUAUUUUCAAAGUUUGUUAAAGGAAAGUUUUAUAUCUUUGCCUCUUUGUUUUUUGAACAUUGUUAAAGAUUGGAAAUAUGUUUGAUAACAUAAUGCAAAUGACUCUAUGUGUGGUUAUCCCUACUUUGCCCGUCAUUCGGGGACGAAUGUUCCUAGUAGGAGAGACUGAAACACCUUAGUUUUUGUGCCUUAGGAAAUUUCUUUAUAUUCUAAUCUCUAGACCCAAUACGACUCAUAGAUAGGAGCCAUAUAAUGAAUGGUAUGGUUUGGCCGUAUGCUGACUAGUGUUGGUUGGUGGGAUGGAUUUUGGUUACUGGAAUGGGUAUGACUUAGGGGUACGAGUUGUAUUUUGGUUACUGUUCAUUUUGUUCCUUAACUUAAUCUUAGAAUUUGUUACUUAGGUUGGAUCUGAGUACGAGUGGCUCACCAUGAGCUGUAAGCCAGGGUACGAAUCAUACCAGGGACUCUUAUGGUAAAUAGUGUUGAAUUCCCCAGGUAUUUUAUUCUGCCAGGGAUACAGUUCAUGGAUAUGGAUCGUAUUCUAUGCUCAUAACUUGGUUGGAUUAGUCGUAUAGUGGAUAAUGUUUGAUCCAAAGGUCGAGGCUUGGAUACGAGUGGUGGAUACCAAUCGUAUUGGGAGGGUACAUCUCGUGAGGGCUAGUCGUAUCCUUGUGAUAGGAUUUUUGUGGAACUUAAGUGGGGGUAUUUUAGAUAUUUCCCUACUUAUCCUAAUAAGGCCCCACGACUUCCAAACUAUCUAGAAGGUUAUUUAUCUUAAUAUUCUAUUCAUUAACACUUAAAAACUCUUCCUUAACACUUUAUAAUUCUCUUAAGAGUUAUUGAGCAAGGGGAGCUAGGGUUUCAACUAAGGGAUGAAUUUGGGGCUUGACUUAGUUAUUUCUUUUGGUCAUCAUCUUUGUUUAAGGCAUGUUUCUUUUCCCUCAUUGUUAAUUUAAUUAAAGGCAUAGUUUAUAUGAAUGUUUUCAUGGUUUUACUAUUACAUGGUUUUGGCUUUUGAAUAUGAUUUGGGGGUUUUGAUGUUAAUUGCUUGAUUAUGGUUUCCCAUUUUUUACUAUGCUUUUAUAUGCAUUAAUGGUGGUUUUGGAUAAUUGAAUUUAAUGGGAAUGGUUUAUUGGUAAUUGGAAUUGGUUUCGGUUAUAUUAUGCCCCCAAUGUGUUUGACAAAAUGCUUAUAAAGAUAUGUUUAUUACAUUGACUUCUUUUAAUGGAACUCUUGCAUGUUUUAAACUUGGUAAAGGAAUUAUGCUUCAUUUAAAUGGUUUGAAAAGGCUAAAGGCUAAUUGGUUAUGCUUGUGGGGAACAUGGAAGUCUCCCAAGUGAUUUAAUAUGGUAAAUUAAAGGGCACUUGAAAGUCCCCUUAAACCUAUAAAUGGUUGGCUAUGGAUGAUACCUGCAAGUAAGGGUUGGUAUGACGAUACCAAUAUCAAUGGCCUUAGUUAAUAAAUAGAUAAUUGUUUGGUUAUUUGGAAAUUGAUUUUAAUUGGACAAUAAUGGCGGAAUGUAUGGCAAAGCCGUGAAAGGUGGAGGUCCCGAGGGGACCAAAAUUGGAAACUCAUAUUUACCGAUAUGAGGUUGGUCUUGGUAACCAUGUGUAUCAUGUCACACUUUAUUUGGGGGAUGUACUAAUCAUCCCAUGGGAUACUUACUUAAUUAUGCAGCUAUACGCACUGGGGCCCUUUCUUCAGGGGAAGCUGAACCUAUAUAGCCCGUGGGUGAUUUUGGAUUUCAAAGCUACACAACCCAUGUAAAGGUUUUAAAGGCAUGCUAAACCCAAUCCCUUUUUCCCAACAUGGUUAUAUAUAUACAUAUUCAUAAGGUUGUAUGCAUCAUGGAUGGUUUUACUUGGUUUUAUAAAUGACAUUAUUUUAUCGUUAUCUUGAGAUCAUGUUAGCGGUCACUUGCUAACCCCUUCUACUGGCGGAUUUAUACCCAUACUAUGCAGGAACUAGUUGUUUUACUCCUCCUACAUAGUGAUUGACUCUGGGACAGCAUUUGGAAUCAAGUGGUGAGCUUUCAUCCGUUCAGAAGGCUAUAUUUCAUGUUAUGGAUAUUUGUAGACAUUUUGACUUUAUUCUGGAUAUUGGUUUUGGCUAUGGUUAGGGGCAUGUCCCAACCGAAUUUGAUUAAUCUUUCGGAUAGAGGCUUUGUGGUACUUCUAUGGGUUGGUAUGGAUGGGAUCGGUAUAGGUGUAGGCCUUAGCAUUGGAAUAAGUCGGUGGGCUGACAUCAUUGGAUGAUAUUGUUUAUUGUUCUAUCCUAUUAUAUUUUGGGAUUAAUUAUAUUAUACUUUAGAACGUCUUUGGUUAUGGCCUUAUUUUGUGUGGUUUGGUAUGAUUGGAUUAUUGGUAUGGGGUGGUUAGACUCGGUUGGGUUGGUCACGAUUGUGAUCUGUUCAUAAGGUCUUUGUGUGAGCAGUUACACUUUUAUGUUUCAUGCUCGGAAUUCAGCAAACUCAGGGAAGACGGUUGUAGGUUGGGUUGGGUAACGGGGGUGGUCUCCGGUCCUGGUCGGAUAACACUACAUACAAGAGUUAAUAUUUUAAAAAAUAAAAUUAAAAAAAGAGGUGAUGACUAAAACUCAAGUAGCAACUCAAAUUUUUAUAUUGAUUGUUUCUCGUUGGUAAUUUUAUAGCUUAAAUUUUUUAUUGAAAAAGGUAAAUGUUUAAUCACAAACUAAAAUCAUGUAUUUUCAAUGAUGUACCUUAUAUAAUAAUUAAAUAUGAUGUACACAGCUACACAUAUAAAUUAUUUUUCCAUAUAAUGAAUGCAUGAUUUUAUUUUCUUUAAAAACUCAGAUUCUAGAAAUUUGCAUGCAUUAUAAUAUUUUUUAAUUCUUAGAACACGUUAAUAAUUUUUUGAAUUUGACUACUUGUAAUUCAAUAUACAAUUUAUCCAAAAAAAAUUAAUUUUUUGAAUUUAAUUUUAAAAAAUAACAUUUUGAAAUUGAAUAUGAAAUAAAACUAUAUUUUGAUAAAGGUGAAAGUGUUUAACUUAAAUUUAAAUCAUACUUAACAUACUAGUUUAAUUUUGGAGUUUUGUUCUAACUGAUUUCUAUUGUGAGAUGAAGAAAACUCAACUGCUUGUGUGUAACGAAAGGAAAAAUAAUAAUUUAAAUCAAAGUUAAAUUAGAGAAAAUUAAAGUAAUUAAAAUACAAUAGUAGAAUAAUGUAUGCAAAGAGAGGGGGGUGGGGUGGGGUUAUAUUGAACUAAUUUGAGAAAUUGAAGUAAUUAGAUAAUACUCAUAUUACUAUUCAUAAAUUUUAAAUUGAGGAAAAGUAAAUAAUAGAAUAAAAACUUAAAAAUAAAAAAUCAAUAUUAAAAAUCUAAUAUUUUCAAAUUAUGAAAAAUAUAAUAACAAAAAGAUGAAACAUAAUUUUUUUCACAAUUGAUGUUUUUCUACUUAUACAAAUUUAAUUAGAGGUGGAUGUGUAUGGUGGGUGGAGGGGAGGAUGUGAUGCCCUAGGUGUUGGCUGCUAAAAAUUCUGAGUUUUUAAACUCACUGUCCUAACUACGACUCACCGCACGAGUUGUAAUGUAUCAUCGCAGGUCAUAAGACCCUAAUCGUAAGGUGUCCAGUAAAGGUAGCCUAAGUUACUAUCCUGAUUAUGAGUGGCUCCUAACAAGUCUUAAAGACUUUAAAUGAGUCGUAUGGUCCCAUUCGUAGCCAAACCAAUGUAUGCCCCAAGUGUUUAUGUCUUGUCUACGACUUAGACCCUAGAGCCGUAGGGUCACCUGGUGUGUCGUAUGGUAUGAGUUAUAUGGUCACCAGAGAAGGGUCCUUUAGUUACUGUCUUGAUUAUUACUCAUGGUGAAGAGCCGUAAUGUUUCCUUACGAAUCGUAUAGUGACUCGUAGUCACUAGCGAUAAUUUUUCAGCUUUUAAUUAAGGGCUCUUAGACAUUUCUCCUUUUCUCCAAAUCAUGUCCCACGACCUAAAACCCCUUUAGGGUGUUAUUAUCACUCCAAAAAAAAUUGAAAUAUCUUCUAAAACACUCUCAAUUCUCCAAGGUCAAGAUACGUAGGGUUUCCAAGAAGUUGAUCAAUUAAAGAUUCCAAGAGCAAAUUUUCUCCAUAGCUCUUGAUAUUUUAGGCAUGUUACUCUUCCCCAACUAUUACUUUGUAAAAGCAUGUAUUUUAAAUAGUUUCCUUAUGGUUUUGAUAUUGGUUUUGGAACAUGGGUUGAAGGUUUUUAAUGUUUGUUUUGAAAUAUGCUUCCCAUGGUUUACAUAUGGAUUGUUCAUAAUUUAUAUAUGGUUUCCAUCUGGUGGGGUGCAUGGGCAUGGUGAAUAAACUAUGGGAUUGUGAUUUUACCAAAAUUAUGAUUAUUGACAAUUGAAUUAGUAACAAUCCUUAACCCAAAUUUUAUGUAAGUAGUUUUAAAUAUGAGUAAAAUUCCAUUGAACUACUUUCGAAAUAAUUGCAUGAUGUAAAGAGGUUAUUGAAACAUGACGGUUUGAUUUAAUAAACAAAGCGAGUCAGUGUUCCUCAACCUUGUAUUAAUGAACAAAGGGAGCUAUUUUCCAAUGAGAAUGCAAUUGAAAUGGCAUGAUGAUGUUACCUUGCAAGGGUAGUUUGUAUGAUGAUACCAACAGUUCAUGCCUAAAUAUUUAUUACGGUUCAAUGAAUGGGAAUAUGUGAUAAAUGUUUUAAUGGGGCUUAAAGAGGGUUCUGUAGCUGGGCUGUGAAAGUGGCGGUCUCGAGGGACCAAUACUGGAAAUUGCAUUCACCAGUGCGGGGGUCUAAAUUGCCUGGGGUUCGAGUCCCUUUGCUUAUGACUAGGUGGUUUGAGUCCACCUUAUUAUAUGGGGGACUCAAACCUCUCAAUCAUAUAAUAAGGUGGUUUGAGUCCACCUUAUUAUAUGAUUGGGAUGUUUGAGUCACCCAUAUUACAUUACAUGAUCAGGUACUUAAGUCACUUUUAGUAUAUGAUUGGGAGGUUCGAGUCUCCCAUGCAAAUAUAUAAGAUUAUUCUCUAGUUCAUGCGGAUACACCUAUCUGGACCUAAGCCCAUAUAGCCUGUGGGUAAUGAUAGAUGAUGGUUAAGCUACACAGCCCAGAUUAAGAUUUUAAAAAUUCAUGUUAAGCCUUGUUCUCUAUCCCAGCAUGUUAUAUAAGUAUAUAUAUAUGCACACAUGUAGGUGAAUAUGUACAUUGAGUUUAAUUGGAUUUUGAUUUGUCAUUUAUUUAUCCUUAUCCCUGAGUUACAUACUAGUGCUCAACCCACUAACCAUUUUCAAUCGUUGUAUCCCCACGCAAUAUAGGGUCCAAAGGCAAUCCUACUUUUUCUACAUAGUGUUAGGUGGAUCAACUCAAUUUAUCGAUAGUUUGUUGUGAAGUGGUGAGCUUUUAUUCUUCGAGAGACUUGAUCAUUCCAUUAGUUUCCUUUCAUAAACUAGAAUUAAAGCGCUCUCAUUAACAUUGUCAUUGUAAGGGUCAAGGUCAGGGGCAUAUCCCGACGUUGGUUAUUUUCGGAUUAGUAGAGGUUUUAUGGAUGUUAUUGUGGAUUGGGUGUUGAUGUUUACAUUCUUAGUUGCCUUUGAGUUUACUACUUUUCUAUCUUAUUAUAUGUUUGGAAUUCAGCCAUUACUAGGUGUCAUGUUCUAUGUUGGCUAGGAAAAGGGGGUGGUUUCUGUUCCUCAGUGGACUUGGAAUACCUGUCACAACAAGACCUUAGUUUGGAUCAUGUCAAAGAUGGUAUCAGUGCCAAGGUUUGGCGCAUUGGGUGUUCACAAAUCCGUGUCAAGUAGAGUCUCUUUUAUUGGCGUGUAUCAUGCCACACUUAUAAGAGAGAGGCUACGAGACAUUUAGGAAUGUUUUCCUUUUUUGUUUUUCUAGUUCGGGCUAUAGAGUCUAAGGUAUUGAAUCUCCUUUAAUCCCCAUUUGUUCACAUUUCAAAUCAUGCCCCAAGAAGAUUUGAUGCAAGUGGAAACUCUUCUGUCUCGUCUAAGGAUAAUAUCGAAGGAACUCUCCGUACUUAUGGAAUUCAAACCUGGUCUAGGGAUACAUCUCCUAAUUAUACUUCCCCACGUAGAGUUCCACCGAUCCUCUUUAGGCCCCACGGGCUGAUGGUGAUCAUGCCUGAUGUGUGAGCCCAUGCUAACACUUUUGAAGCUUUUAACUCUAAAUAAUUGCAAAGUCUUGAGAAACUUUAGUCAUUUUUGAUUAAUUUACUUUGGUUUUGCAGUAAAAGUAGAGAAGAAGGAGAACCACAAAUAAAGAAAGCACAAAGUAUGAAAUCGGAAGCAAAUGAAGAGCUAAGUAUGGCUAACGACAUCCACAACACAUCGCUAGCCUGGUGAUAGGCUUUCAAGGAUACCGUCAAACAUAAACAGAAGAGGGGAGUUGCAGGAAGUUUUGUGACGACCUUCAUGACACUCCGUCAAGAUCCUAAUAGGCCGUCACUAUCGUCGUCAACCUUAGGCAGCAGAAGCUGAAUUUGCAGAGAAGCUAACGACGUCUGUGACAGGCUGUCAAAAUCAUGAUAGGCCGUCAAAACCGCCGUCAUCUAUUCAGAAGAACAUCUGAAACUUUAAUUUUAUUUCCUUAUUUAGGGUUAACUAUUUAAAUCCUUGUUUUAGGGUUUUUCUAUUAUGCAUCAAUUAAUUGACAUAUCCUACAAC